UUUUGUUGAAAUGUUAUUAGAAAAUUAAGCUCCGUUAUAUUUCGUGUUUAUUAAUUAAAUAAAGACUUUGUUAAUUAACAGUUUGGGUUUUUUGUAUUGAGAAAAUUGUCGCGAACAAAUUGAGUAUAAAUAUGUCGGUUGGAAUUGUUUGGUUUUACAAUAAUAUCUGGAUAUUGGUGACAGCUCAACUCCAACCAAAAGCUGUCAAUUCACCAGAUAUCAACAAUUAUUGGCUGGGCAUAUACUUGCCAAGUAGUUGACACUAAUAACCAUAAAAGUAAAUAUGUUGACAUUUACAAUUAAAUCAACUUGCU